AGAUGGUACUGUAGCUCAGCUGGUUAGAGCGCACGCCUGAUAAGCGUGAGGUCGGUGGUUCGAGUCCACUCACCUCUU
rnacentral:tRNA from 1 species